AUUGAACGCUGGCGGCAUGCCUUACACAUGCAAGUCGAACGGCAGCACGGGAGCAAUCCUGGUGGCGAGUGGCGAACGGGUGAGUAAUAUAUCGGAACGUGCCCAGUAGUGGGGGAUAGCCCGGCGAAAGCCGGAUUAAUACCGCAUACGACCUAUGGGUGAAAGCGGGGGAUCGCAAGACCUCGCGCUAUUGGAGCGGCCGAUAUCAGAUUAGCUUGUUGGUGGGGUAAAAGCCUACCAAGGCGACGAUCUGUAGCUGGUCUGAGAGGACGACCAGCCACACUGGGACUGAGACACGGCCCAGACUCCUACGGGAGGCAGCAGUGGGGAAUUUUGGACAAUGGGCGCAAGCCUGAUCCAGCCAUGCCGCGUGCGGGAAGAAGGCCUUCGGUGUAACCGCUUUGUCAGGAGAAACGGUCCGCGCUAAUACCGUGGACUAAUGACGGUACCUGAAGAAUAAGACACCGGCUAACUACGUGCCAGCAGCCG
rnacentral:rRNA from 1 species